rnacentral:lncRNA from 1 species
GAGGAAGGCUGGAGGAUGAUCACGUGGCAGGAGGGGCGGUGCUCCUGGCGGUUCCUGGGCUCCGAGCUGGGAACCAGGGUACCUACCAUGCCAAGCAGUGCGCUGAUAAUUUAUGCAAGCGAAACGCCUAUAUGCAUAAUGCCUCUAGCUGGGACCACACCCUGCCACCUGAGACACAGAGGCCAACGGUGAGGAAAGCAGGCGGAAUGGAAAUGCCCCUUUAACCAUCCAAGAACCAGAGAAAAGCCACAGGCUCCAGGAAGGUUCAAAGGGCAGAGGGAGGGCCUGGUGAACUCGAAGUCUCCAAACAGUAGCUUGGACAUGCCCAUUGGGGCAGGGCAAAGACAGCAUCCCGCACAGGGACUUCUUUGGCAUUUAUGUUGGACAGUCACCCCGAGCUCUCUGACUACAGGCCUGGAAAGUCUCUACAGUUAGUACUGAGAAGAGUGGGAGCUCGGUGAGAUUCCACGGUGGGGGGAUCCAGGCAGGGAGACUGGGCCUGCAGUUAGAGCUGCUUGUCUUUCUGGAUCAGGAACUCAGAAAUCAGAUACUGGCUUGACCUGCCUUCAAAGUAGGAUUGACCGUAGGUAUGUUGGGAUGGUUGGGCAUUUCCUGAAAAUAACGUUUUCCCUACCCUACUCACUGAUCCCUAGCAUUCCUUUAACAGGGAGCCAAGACUUGCGUUACAGAGCAAAUUUAAAGUGGCUCGGGAAGAGAAACUCUAGACAGAGGAAGAGGAAGUGUGUGUGUGUUGGGGGGGGGGGGGGCUCGAGCACACGCGCGCAUGCCCUUCUUGUACGGUGGUCAUGUUUUGCUCAUGCCCAUGCGCAUGAGGGAAUAAAUCAGCUUCCUCUAUCACAAAAA